ACCAAUCUCUGAAAGGACCUUCCCUCUUAUCCCAUGACAACUUACUUUGCAUAAGAACCUUUGAUGAGGGAUCUUGUUAAAGGCUUUCUGAAAGUUCAGGUACACUAUAUCCACUGGAUCACUCUUGUUCA